AGAUCUCUCUCACUGGCCCAGGGAUUCAAGGCAUUCGGUGCAAAACCUGGCUAGCAGCCCAAGUGAGUAGGAGCCAUGUGACUCUGGUGAGUUGGAGUGUGCAAUUGCCUCCUGCUUCAGAGCUACCUGAUCCGAAUACUAAGCAGAGCGAGUGCCGGGCUGAGUGUAAGACACUGAAGACACUGCAGAGAAAGGUGCUUAUUCCAGAGGCGUUGCAAAACAUGGAGAUUAAAGACCAGGGGGCCCAAAUGGAGCCGCUGCUGCCUACGAGAAAUGAUGAAGAGGCAGUUGUGGAUAGGGGUGGAACUCGUUCUAUUCUCAAAACACACUUUGAGAAAGAAGAUUUAGAAGGUCAUCGGACACUAUUUAUUGGAGUUCAUGUACCCCUGGGAGGAAGGAAAAGCCAUCGACGUCAUAGGCAUCGCGGUCAUAAACACAGGAAGAGAGACAGAGAGAGAGAUUCGGGAUUAGAUGAUGGAAGGGAGUCACCUUUCUUUGAUACCCCUUCACAGCGGGUACAGUUUAUUCUUGGAACUGAAGAUGAUGAUGAGGAGCACAUUCCUCAUGACCUUUUCACAGAGCUGGAUGAGAUUUGCUGGCGUGAAGGUGAGGAUGCUGAGUGGCGAGAAACAGCCAGGUGGUUGAAGUUUGAAGAAGAUGUGGAGGAUGGGGGAGAGAGGUGGAGCAAACCAUAUGUGGCGACUCUGUCAUUGCACAGCUUGUUUGAGUUGAGAAGCUGUAUUCUGAAUGGAACCGUGUUGCUGGACAUGCAUGCCAAUACUUUAGAAGAAAUUGCAGAUAUGGUCCUUGACCAACAAGUGAGCUCAGGUCAGCUUAAUGAAGAUGUGCGCCACAGAGUCCACGAAGCACUGAUGAAACAGCAUCACCACCAGAAUCAGAAAAAACUCACCAAUAGAAUCCCCAUUGUUCGUUCCUUUGCUGAUAUUGGCAAGAAACAAUCAGAACCAAAUUCCAUGGAUAAAAAUGGUCAGGUUGUUUCUCCACAGUCUGCUCCAGCCUCUGUUGAAAAUAAAAAUGAUGUGAGCAGAGAAAACAGCACUGUUGACUUCAGCAAGGGACUGGGAGGCCAACAAAAGGGGCAUACUAGUCCAUGUGGGAUGAAACAAAGGCAAGAAAAAGGACCUCCACACCAGCAAGAGAGAGAGGUUGAUCUGCAUUUUAUGAAAAAGAUUCCUCCAGGUGCUGAAGCUUCAAACAUCUUAGUGGGGGAGUUGGAGUUUUUGGAUCGAACUGUAGUUGCAUUUGUCAGGUUGUCUCCAGCUGUAUUGCUUCAAGGACUGGCUGAAGUCCCCAUCCCAACCAGAUUUUUGUUCAUUCUUCUGGGACCCCUGGGAAAGGGUCAACAGUACCAUGAGAUUGGCAGAUCAAUUGCAACCCUAAUGACAGAUGAGGUGUUUCAUGAUGUUGCUUACAAAGCUAAAGAUCGUAAUGACUUAGUUUCAGGAAUUGAUGAAUUUCUGGAUCAGGUUACUGUUCUCCCUCCUGGAGAAUGGGAUCCAAGCAUUCGUAUAGAGCCUCCAAAAAAUGUUCCUUCCCAGGAGAAGAGGAAGCUUCCUGCUGUACCAAAUGGAACAGCAGCUCACGGGGAAGCAGAGCCCCAUGGAGGACACAGUGGACCUGAACUCCAACGAACAGGAAGGAUUUUUGGGGGACUUAUUUUAGAUAUCAAAAGAAAAGCUCCAUACUUCUGGAGUGACUUCAGAGAUGCUUUCAGCCUGCAGUGCUUAGCAUCUUUUCUAUUUCUCUACUGCGCGUGUAUGUCUCCUGUCAUCACAUUUGGAGGACUGCUGGGAGAAGCCACUGAAGGUCGUAUAAGUGCAAUCGAAUCUCUCUUUGGAGCAUCCAUGACUGGGAUAGCCUAUUCUCUCUUUGGUGGACAGCCUCUUACCAUAUUAGGCAGUACAGGACCAGUUUUGGUGUUUGAAAAGAUUUUGUUUAAGUUUUGCAAAGAAUAUGGGCUGUCAUACCUGUCUUUAAGAGCUAGUAUUGGACUUUGGACUGCAACUCUAUGUAUCAUACUUGUGGCCACGGAUGCAAGCUCCCUUGUUUGCUAUAUCACUCGGUUUACUGAAGAAGCUUUUGCUUCUCUUAUUUGCAUCAUUUUCAUUUAUGAAGCCCUAGAGAAGUUGUUUGAACUCAGUGAAGCAUAUCCAAUCAACAUGCAUAAUGAUUUGGAACUGCUGACACAGUACUCAUGUAACUGUGUGGAACCCCAUAAUCCCAGCAACGACACACUAAAGGAAUGGAGGGAGUCCAAUGUUUCUGCCUCUGACAUAAUUUGGGAGAACCUAACUGUGUCAGAAUGCAAGUCUUUGCACGGAGAGUAUGUUGGACGAGCCUGCGGUCACGAUCACCCAUACGUCCCAGAUGUUCUGUUUUGGUCAGUGAUCCUGUUUUUCUCCACAGUUACUCUGUCAGCCACCCUGAAGCAGUUCAAGACCAGCCGCUAUUUUCCAACCAAGGUUCGAUCCAUAGUGAGUGACUUUGCUGUCUUUCUUACAAUUCUGUGUAUGGUUUUAAUUGAUUAUGCCAUUGGGAUCCCAUCUCCAAAACUACAAGUACCAAGUGUUUUCAAGCCCACCCGAGAUGACCGUGGCUGGUUCGUUACACCUUUAGGUCCAAAUCCAUGGUGGACAGUAAUAGCUGCUGUUAUUCCAGCUUUGCUUUGUACCAUUCUAAUUUUCAUGGACCAGCAGAUUACAGCUGUCAUCAUCAACAGAAAAGAGCAUAAGCUAAAGAAAGGUUGUGGAUACCACCUGGAUCUAUUAAUGGUGGCUGUCAUGCUUGGUGUGUGCUCCAUCAUGGGCCUGCCAUGGUUUGUAGCUGCCACUGUUCUCUCCAUCACUCAUGUCAACAGUCUAAAGCUGGAAUCAGAAUGUUCAGCUCCAGGAGAACAACCCAAAUUUCUUGGCAUUCGGGAGCAAAGAGUUACUGGGCUUAUGAUUUUUAUUCUUAUGGGUUCAUCAGUCUUUAUGACCAGCAUUCUGAAGUUUAUUCCCAUGCCAGUGUUGUAUGGAGUAUUUCUUUAUAUGGGUGCUUCAUCUCUAAAGGGAAUUCAGUUUUUUGAUAGAAUAAAGCUCUUCUGGAUGCCUGCAAAACAUCAACCAGACUUUAUAUAUCUAAGGCAUGUACCACUUCGAAAAGUCCAUCUCUUCACAGUCAUUCAGAUGAGUUGCCUUGUCCUUUUGUGGAUAAUAAAGGUUUCAAGAGCUGCUAUAGUCUUUCCCAUGAUGGUAUUAGCUCUGGUAUUUGUAAGAAAGUUGAUGGACUUUUUGUUUACCAAACGGGAACUCAGCUGGUUAGAUGAUUUAAUGCCUGAGAGUAAGAAAAAGAAACUAGAAGAUGCUGAAAAAGAAGAAGAACAAAGUAUGCUAGCUAUGGAAGAUGAGGGCGCAGUACAACUGCCAUUGGAAGGGCAUUACAGAGAUGAUCCAUCUGUGAUCAAUAUUUCUGAUGAAAUGUCAAAGACUGCCUUGUGGAGGAACCUUCUGAUUACUGCGGAUAACUCAAAAGAUAAGGAGUCAAGCUUUCCUUCUAAAAGGUUUGAAUUCUAAAAUAAUGUGAAUUUAAACUGAUCCCAGUCAUUCUUAUGACAUGAAUCCAUUAGCAAAAAUGUAAUAACUUUUCAUCAAAUUUAUAUCUAAAGUGUUUUGGAAAAUUCUUUUUAAAAGUGGAUAAAAUUAUAAUUAUCAUAUUGGUUGUUAUAUUUUUCAUCUCCCUUUCAAAUGAAAAGUUCACUCCAAAACGAUGACAGUGGGGGUACUUGGUACUGUAAAUGAGUCCCGAUGCACGACAUCUUUGGACAUUCACUUUGGCCUACUCUUUUGCAGUAGGAUUGUAUUGUAUCCCCUUAUCACUCACUUCCCAAGAACGCUGUUGAUGUCUGACCACAUUUUGCACUCCCUCAUGUCCUUUUUAAAACUCACAUGGCACAUGAAAUGGUGGUUUCAUAUUUAGUACAUUUCCAGUUUCCUACUCAUCCAUUUGAAAAUCUUCCCUAACCUUCUUACCCCAAAACUUUCAGCUCCAGAAAGUUCUGUUCAUUCUUACUUAUCUGUAUGAAAAUAUUACAAACAAUUCCUGUAGUUGUGCAUGGUAAUUUUAAAUGCAUGCUGGGGGAAGAAUGUAUCCUUAAAUAUCAAGAGUCAUCAUAGGAUUUCCAAUGGAAUUUUCCAGAAUUUAUAAAUAAGAGUUCAAACCAUCAGCCUUCUUAGAUGCUGAUCUAAAGAAAAAUCUCUGUUAUGGUAAUAUCUCUUCUUAUUAAAGAGUGAUUGAGGGAUUUGGGACAGUGAAUAAUUAUUAAUUUCCUUUUAUUUUCAUGGCCUUAAAUUAACUCUUUCUACUUAAUUUUUAUAUUACAUUUUUGUCAUAAGCUCCCCUUCCUAAUCACUCUAGAAGCUGAUUCCCCAAAGCACUGAAAGCCGAAAAGAGAAGAAAGCUGACUCACAGAAAGGUGUUGACAGGGAGACUUGUCUAUGACUUGAUCUUCAAUUUAUUUUUUAUAAAUAUAUGAGAAGAGUGCCACAAUUAUUAAUAAAACUGCUUUGAUCAUGUAUUGUAAAUUCUGUCUCUCAUCCCAAACCCACCUUCAUACUGUAAGUAGUGCACUACUUGUUUCAUUUCUGUGUUUAAACUUCUGAGCACUGAGACACCCUUGUGAGCAUUUACAGUAGCUAAUGCAAGAACCUCUGCAUUGCUUGUGUGUGUGAGGCAUUUGUAAACACUAGAUCCUCAUUGUCAGUUUUAUGAGAGCAAUAGCUUUCUUAAAGAGAUAAGUAAUAUUUACCUAGUUUGUAUUUUCUUACUGUAGUGACCUGAAGAUGCCUGGUAAUUUCAUUGAGCAGAAUUUUGAAGGUAGUCUUAUUUUUAUAGAUUAGCAUUAGUGACUUAUUUCAAAAGACCCAACAAUCAAAAAUUAGUGGGAAAGCAUUUUUAAUAAAAUGAAUUAUGCCACUUGCUUGAUUUAAUAUGAUACAUUAAUACUUCAGAAUUUGUAUGUAACUAAAAUUUAAAUUUGACAAAAUACAGAGAGACCUAUUUCACAAAUUGUUUAAAAGAAUCAGACAUUAAUGCAAAGAGUCAAGUAGUAUUUGCUUAAGAUUCAAGUUGUGCUUACAUAAUCAAAUAUUAGGCUUGUAUGGAACUGCUUUAGAAACCAAGUUUGUGAGAUUUCCCAAAAACCUUUAUCAGAACUGUGCUGUUAAUUUCUCUCCUAUUGGCAACAGAUAUUGUCCAAAUAAACCUAUCAUAUAUAUGUAUGUAUAUUAUAUAAUAUAUUAUAUAUAUAUAUACAAUACAUCCUAUAGGUGUGUGUGUGUGUGUGUGUAUACGUAUAUAUACAUACACACACACACUCGUGGAAUACCAGUGGUGAGUCACUGCACAUGAAACCACCACUCCUGUGCAGUUGCUCUGCUGCUAAAAGUCGUGUACUGCUAAUGCUGCUCCUUGCAUCACGUUUGGAUGUUAGACUGAUGGGUCUCUCAUUGACAUUUUUUCUGUAAAGCUCUUUUCCCACUUUUUAAUUAAAUACAUGUUGGAAAAAAAUAUCUUUUAAAUGAAAUUUUAGAUUCUGUUUGAAAAGUUCUGUAGAUAUUUCAGUCAUAUAAAAUCAUCUUUACUAAGCUUAUCAGAGGAAGUAAAAGUCAAGAAUUUUGAGCAUUUGCUAAAAAUACAGUGUUUCUUUUGUUUUAGAUGAAUGUCAAGUUAACAAAGACUGUCUCAUAGUACUCUUGUUUCCUAAUAAUGAUCAGUGAUCAUAACAUUAUAAUCUUCAGUGUCCAAUUCAUAAUCAUUCAAAGCCCUGUCCUGAAAGUGAUUAAUACAUAUUCUGUGUAUAAGUGUGUGUGAAAAGUGAGCAACAACAGCAUAUGAAAAACAAAUGCUCUUGUGAUUAAGCUUAUGAGGGAAAACAAAACUAUCACAAAGCCUUCAUUAGGUUCAACAUUUUGAUCCCUUCUGAAAAAUUCCCCCUCACAAUCUCUUAAGGAGCCAUUUAUUUUAUGGAACAUAAGCCUAAAAAAUACAAGAAAGAAUAUGCAGUUAAUAAAGUCUGUGUUUAUAAAUGCCAAGGGAAAAAUACAGAAACUUCCAUUCUAAUAUGUUGCUUUGUGUAUUUUAUAAUACAGAUACUGUAUCAUAAACAUUCCCCAUUGUUUUAUGAUUUAGACUAGUUGUACAUGCCAGGUCAGUCCCAUAAGCAGCCUCUUAGUGUUUUAAUAUAUUAAUAACCAUUCUGUUUGAAAUGCUCAUAGUGAAAUUAAAACCUUCACAUGAUCACCUAUUUGAAUAAGCAAUCAUAUCUGAUGAAAUUCUGUAUUUCUGAGUAUUUUUAUAGUCAUUUUGUUUUCAUGUGAAUCUUGAUAUCCCUAUGUCAAUCCUAAUAUUUUGAACUCAUAUAAAUAUAGGAAAAUGUAGUGCUAUAUAUUUCCUCCUAAUUUCAGAUUCCUGGUCAAAAUUAGUGACUAUCUUGAAUGUAAUUUAUUGCCAAGUAAUGUGUAAAUGUGACUAGGAUAUGGUGUUUUCACACUAAGAAAUGUUAUGUGGAAAUAAUAUUAUCCUAACUAAUUUUCUUGCACAUU